AGAGCGAACGCUGGCGGCAGGCUUAACACAUGCAAGUCGAGCGCCCCGCAAGGGGAGCGGCAGACGGGAGAGUAACACGUGGGAACGUACCCUUUGGUUCGGAACAACCCAGGGAAACUUGGGCUAAUACCGGAUACGUCCGUAAGGAGAAAGAUUUAUCGCCAAGGGAUCGGCCCGCGUCUGAUUAGCUAGUUGGUGAGGUAACGGCUCACCAAGGCUACGAUCAGUAGCUGGUCUGAGAGGAUGAUCAGCCUCAUUGGGACUGAGACACGGCCCAAACUCCUACGGGAGGCAGCAGUGGGGAAUAUUGGACAAUGGGCGCAAGCCUGAUCCAGCCAUGCCGCGUGGGUGAUGAAGGCCCUAGGGUUGUAAAGCCCUUUCGGCGGGAAGAUAAGUGACGGUACCGCAGAAGAAGCCCGACUAACUCGCGCCAGCAGCCGC
rnacentral:rRNA from 1 species